GAAAGUGAUUUGCAUUUUCCCAGAAAAAAAAGCUUCUCUUUUGUUCUCCGUUUUCUUAGCAUUUUCCUGAAGCCAUGAAGAAUGAAUCGAAUCUCAGAAAAAAAACUGUUACUUUAGCCCUUUUAAUUUUAAAGAUAAAUAUUUUGUUUCAUUGCUUUGCAACUUCGGAGCAGAGGAGGAUCUUCUUCUUAUCAUGUUUUUUGUUGCCAAAGAUGUUUGUAUCCUGUGAUAUAUGUGAAGUAAAAUAUGCAUCUCUAGAAACAUGAGUUUUGCCAUUUCAAAAUAAAGACAGUCAAUUGUUCAAAUAGCCGUAUAACACAAAUCUUAAAACCAGCUAAACAUUGAGUGUACGGUUAUGUCGGAGGAUAACUUUGCUAACUUAUGAUUGAUGUUCUCAAAAAAUUUAACCAUUCACGUUUUUAUAUAGAUCGUACGUGGACUAUUUUAAAUUAUAUAUUUUUAUAAAAAAAUAUAUUCUUCUAGUGUUCAAAUAGCCGGUAAACAAAGCUAUUGUUAGCAAAUCACUGUUUAUAUACAUUGUUAGCCAGCUAAAGUAACAAAUAUAUUGCCUGAAAAGAUUUGAUUUGAAUAUGUAAAAAUAUUGAGCAUGUGAUGGUCUAUUUCUGAUGGUUUCAUUUGCUUUGUAACUUCAGAGCAGAGGAGCAUCUUCUUCUUAUCAUUUUUUUUGUUGCCAAAGAUGUUUGUAUCUGUGAUAUAUGUGAAGUAAAACAUGCGUCUCUUGAAACAUGAGUUUUGCCAUUUCAAAUUAAAGACAGUCAAUUGUUCAAAUAACCGUAUAACACAAAUUUUAAAACCAGCUAAACAUUGAGUGUACGGUUAUGUCGGAGGAUAACCUUGCUAACUUAUGAUUGAUGUUCUCACAAAAUUUAACCAUACAUGUUUUUAUAUAGACCGUACGUGGACUAUUUUAAAUUAUAUAUUUUUAUAAAAUAAAAUAUUUUUUUAGUGUUCAAAUAGCCGGUAAACAUAGCUAUUGUUAGCAAAUCACUGUUUAUAUAUAUUGUUAGCCAGCUAAACUAACAAAUAUAUUGCAUGAAAAGAUUUGAUUUGAAUAUGUAAAAAUAUAUUUGUUGGCCGGCUAAACAAACAAAUGUUAACCGGCUAAACUAACAAAUACGUAAACAUUAGUAACUCAUGUUAGAUGGUUAAUUAUUAUAUUAUCUUUUCGUAUCUAACAGAUCUCCAUAAGGAUACCAAGACGAACUGGAUAAAGAAAAUCUGCUUUGAAAAUACAGAACAGUAGUGUGAUGCGAGACUAUUAGUUAGUGUGAUCAUAAUCUUUUGAUGUCAUUCGAAACCUUAAGGUUUGAGAAAAAAGCGAUAUCGGAGGUUUUGUGGUGAGAGAGAGAACAAGAAAUUUUGAAUAAAAUAAUACUUUUUGAAAGAAGGAGAUUAGAAAGCUCAUGUGUAAAAUGGAGAAAAAGAGAGAAAAGUAAGCGAGAAGAGAGAGAGAAAACAAAAUAAUAAUUUGUAUAAAAUAGUAUUUUUUGAAUAUAGACCCAAACAAUUAUAAACGGUCCGCUGUAUAUAUAUGUUUCCUAAUCAUUACUUGCAUGCCAUAACUGCAAAACCCUUUCUGCUUCUCGGUGUAAAAAGAAUAGCUAUAGGGUUAUCAAUGUCUUUUCUCACCUAUCGAAGCUGGGCCUUACUUCUGGGCUGUACAUUUUUCCAUUUCCGCAAAUUCUCACUCUUUCUAUAUUUACGGUGCAAAUCGCUC